GGACUACAGGGGUAUCUAAUCCUGUUUGCUCCCCACGCUUUCGUGUCUCAGCGUCAGUUACUGUCCAGACAGCCGUCUACACCGCCGGUGUUCCUCCUGAUAUCUACGCAUUUCACCGCUACACCAGGAAUUCCGCUAUCCUCUCCAGUACUCAAGCCUUGCAGUUUUCGGCGCACCCUCCCAGUUAAGCCGGGAGAUUUCACACCAAACUUACAAAACCGCCUACACACUCUUUACGCCCAGUAAUUCCGAACAACGUUUGCUGCCUACGUAUUACCGCGGCUGCUGGCAC
rnacentral:rRNA from 1 species